CUGUCAUUGCAGCGGCGGCAGCGGAUCUGAGUCCCACCCGUCGGGAUCGAACGACAGAUGGCGUGAGGCAGCUGGAUGCGAGUCCCACUCCCAACCUGAGGGCUCGACCUUCUCGAUUCCUGGCUGCGGCUGGUGCGGAACUCCGAAGUGACGGUGAACUCGCCGGCCUCGCACUGCCCCCACACAAGUGCCAUCAGGUCUGCAAGCUCUGGUCGCUUGUCUUGAUAUCAGCCAUGUAAUCAUAUCUCACUUCAUUGUGCAAUCUUGUUUCUGAUUCUUGGAGCUUGGACAUCUGAAAUUCUUUGUUUCGAAGCAUAUUUUUUCAGAUUGUUUCAUCUUAGUUUAUUGACAACAAAGUUGUUAACCUUUCUUAAUCUUUGGAUGGACCAACUAAUCCACAAGCUUUUAGGUCAGAAUUUUCACGAGUACUCACUUAGGCUAUAGUUUUUCCUUUUCUUUUCUUUAACUCCCAGAAAAACAACAGCGUGCAUUGCAUCAUAUUAACCACUUGAUAUUACAGUGAUCAAUAUGUAGGAAUUUCAACGCAAGAAAGAACUAAUAAGGUUGCUGAAAGGGUUAGGAUUUGAACUUAAGGUUUUUUUCUUGCUUAGCAGUUCAGUCUAUUGAAUUAAAUAGUUGCAUAUCUCUUCUAUUAUAAUUGGAUUUUUGCAAAGAUCUUUUCAGACGAAGAGAUCACGGGCUUAUUGGCUUAAGCAAAUGAUCAAAUCCUUGGGCACUGAUAAAAAUUACUGAUGUGUGUGUGUAUGUGUGUGGUGGCAGCUGGCAUGUGAGUUUGCACUGACACAUCUAAAUAUAUUUUCUUAACAAUUAGUGAUCAGGGCAAUACUGUUUUCUUAACAACUCGUUUGUUGUGCAUGCACACUAAAUAUGUUUGACACAACUGAUGUUAAAUUGUUAGAGUAUUCACGCUUCCGUUGCGACGCACGGAUGAUUGCCAGAUGAAUGUGAUACAGUAUGUUUUUCCCUUGGGGAUCUGUAACAUUUUGUACUAUAUUUAUUUUAAUUGAUUUACCGUAGAACAUUUUGUUCUACGGUGUUGGGUAAAAAAAAAUGUGAUACAGUAUAUUUCAAAUUUUUGUGCAGUUGCAUCAGCUACGACUUGUAAGGUAUAAACUUUGGGACUGUAUAUAGAGAAAAAAAAAGUGGUUUUCCUGCACUACACACUUAAAUCAUUAUAUUGCUAAUGCAAGUGAACAAUCAGCAUUUCUUAUAGAGCCAUGCUAAUGUUUCUCUUUGUUUAAUUGCGUACUCCUUUUGUUUACUUCUUCAGAAAGCACUUCGCUCUGUUGCACACAAGCAAUAACUAUUUCUGCACCAAUCUGUCCGAAGAUAUAAAGUUUGAACCAGCCCUUAGCUUGCAUUUGGUCAGUUCAUCUUUCAGGAGAAUAUGCAUCUUACUUAGUUCGAGGUCUGACCUGACUCUUCUUUGUACGUAUGUAAUUGGUUUAUUUCUUGAUAGGUUGGUACUCUCUGAAUUUCUUGAUGACCGUUCCCGUUGCUGCACCGCAUUGUGGCCGAGUCCUCUUCUUGGUCAUGCCAGUGACAUGAGCAGGAUGGUGUAUACCGGCUUCCCAGACAUGUGUCUGUCGAGGCCGCACCGGGUUUGUGGAGGUGAUGGCACGAGUAUUUACCAGGAUGCUUGGAGAUGCGUUGGCAUAUGUCCAGAACAACCUGGUCCACGCAUGGGGUCUGACUUGAAUAUUUCAGGAGAUGACUAGAUGUAAAUUUGACUUUCAGAUAAUACAUCUGUCAAUUGCGCAGAAUCAUAUAGAGCAGAUGGGCAUCGUUGACACGUAGUGCAUGACACAUUGCGUGAUUAACAUGCUCUUAGGCCAGCUAAGUAACAUAAGACAACUUUUGUAUGAAGAUCGGUUGUUCGGUUUCACUCUGACAGUUCAGAAGCUUUUGUUUGGCGUUUCUCUCAGCCGGAUAAUAGAGAAAAAGAGACUUACGCAGGGUCAUGGUUGCCGGGUUUUGCUGGCGUUGUGGUCCAUGCAUACCAAUUCUUUGAAUCAGUGCCACCGUGCAGUGAUGUAAGAAAAAGGUGUGUCGUUUGUCGACUGUGGGCAAUGGAGUGAUGUAGAUGUACUCACUAGUAGGAAAAGGGGC